rnacentral:rRNA from 1 species
CAGCCGCCGCGGGAAUACGAAGGGGGCUAGCGUUGUUCGGAUUUACUGGGCGUAAAGCGCACGUAGGCGGACUUUUAAGUCAGGGGUGAAAUCCCGGGGCUCAACCCCGGAACUGCCUUUGAUACUGGGAGUCUUGAGUUCGAGAGAGGUGAGUGGAAUUGCGAGUGUAGAGGUGAGAUUCGUAGAUAUUCGCAGGAACACCAGUGGCGAAGGCGGCUCACUGGCUCGAUACUGACGCUGAGGUGCGAAAGCGUGGGGAGCAAACAGGAUUAGAGACCCCCGUAGUCCCUGUCUCUUAUAC